AUCUCCCCAGAAACUUUUGAAUCAUUACAAAUCCCGGGAACGGCGAUGCUUUUGCACUUAAUAGAAACUAAAACAACGCCGAGGGCAAAGUCAUGUCAAAACAACAAAGUAUCGUGAAGAUAAUAUUUCAGACAGAGGGAGGUAGGUGGCAGAGGAAGACUGCAGCUUGAGAGAGUAAGUGUCUCGAUGCAAGGAAACAAGAAAAUCAUGUUUCAGCAGAGCACAAACAGUCCUCACAGCUGCAAAAUCCAACUCCAUCUUCAGAAAUGAGGCUGGAAAAACAAACAAGAAGGAGAGAGGAAAACAAUAAGAAAAGAAUGAACAAACAUACUAACGCCACAGCCCCCUGGCCCUCCCAAGGACAGAAGUUUGUCUUUCAGCACGUCCCUCCAGCUGGCAUGUGGCAAACCAUGUUUCAGUCUCUCGCCUUCCAGCACUAGGCAAACUCCACAGUCCUUGCAUUCCUGCCGCAUGGGACACCCCACUCCUGCCUCUUCCCACAUGGAGCACAGCCUGCUGCCAUGCUCAGAUGGAAAACACACACUGAUUAUUGGGUGCUGUGCUCUUUCCCAGGGGGAGCUUUAAGCUUAUGCCUCCCUUCUCUGCCGGAGUCCUCCUUUCUACCCUUUUAACUGGAGCCAAGUGGCAAUUCCAGUGUGGUUCCUUCAGUUUCUGUGGUGAGACUUCACUCUGCAUGUGCCUUCAGCAGAUGUCCUCCACUUCUGCAGGCCCAAUUUGGAUUUGGACAUUUUCCUAGGAAGCUGCACCCUCAACUCAGCCCUGCAUAAGCAGCAUUCCUGGUGUGGACGGCCAGCUGGCUGUUACAACCUUUCUUCACACCAUGCUAUGUAAAACUACACAGGGCAGGUCUUGUUGAUGUGUGAAAAAUGCUUCUAACAGUCUGCUCCCAUAUGCACUGAGGUUUCCAGCUUCAGAGACUCGCUGACCCCCCGUGAGCAACAGUGCUGGAAACAAGGAAAUGACUUUCUAUUGACAGGGAAGGGAGAAGAAAAUGAGUUGAGGAACAGGCUUGGUUUUCAGAAGAACAGAAGUUUCCAGAAGCAUGCUGAUUGAGGGUUGGCACUGCGGGCCAACAGCAAGUGCAGUAAGAAUGAGCCUAAAGAAACACUUGUUACAUGCACAGCUCUUUCAAAAGACUGGUUUACUGAUUAUUUUACAUGUAUUGACUACUUUCCACUGGUCAGUUUGCAUAUAACACAUGUACAUUUGGCUUUUCUGGAUAAAUGGGGCUUGUGACUGCUCAGAAUGGCACACCACUGGUGUAUCAGUCACAAAGGACAUAAUGCCAGAUAAACAUAUUCUGACAUGUUGUCACAAAUGGACAGCUCGUUAUAAAGGAGGCAGUAAAAGUGGUUAAAAAGUGCAUACAUAUUCAUGUAUUCAAAUAUUCAUGCACACACAUACAUGUAUAUAAACUUAAUAGAUACACACACAAACAAAACUUUUUAAAAAUAUUUUUGUUUAUAAAAACCAAAAAUAUUAUUUUUCUUUCUUUGACAAACAUAAUGAAAGUCUGAAGAUUAAGAUUUUCAGAAACUAUGUAUUAUUAUUUACAAAAAAUUGGGAAAGAGGUGCUUUUCUUAAAAAACUGUAAAACAUAACAUCUAGUUGAAGAACUGCCUCAACAUGGAGAGUGUGGCCAGGCCAGCAGCUGACACUUCUCUGAAACCAGAAGAUGCCAGAAGCAGGUCUUUCUUUCUCUCCUAGAGAGUAGGAAAGUAGGUGUUCCAUGGAAAGUAGGUGUUCCCAGAAAGCCCCUUCAAGGGAACAUUUCCAAUCCCCUCAGACUGCAGCUGCUCCUGCACCACCUACAACUGGAUGAUUAGAGACUUUAGUCAAAACCUGUGUGGUAAAACCCAAAAGCACUGCUCAUGUUCAUGUGGCAAUGUUUGGUGGAAGUGUAACAGUGGCACAUACUUUGGAGGAAACCUAGUCUCUGUCUAAAUCAAAUCAGAUGUCUAUGCUGUGAAAAAUUCACUCAUAAAAUCUAAUUUUUGUUAUUACAAAAUCCAAGGCAACUGGAGCUAGAAAUAUUUGCAUAUGUUCAUGAAUAUUCUGGACUUUAAAAUGUUAUUAAUCUGUUGUGAUAAAUUUUUGUUUCUUUUUCUUUAGUUUUUGCUUACCUCUAGAGAAGCUUGGAAUUCUUCAUUUUUUUUUUUCCUGGGCCAGAUUUUUGAACAAAUAGGAAAAUACUGAGCAAAUAUGGAUAUAUUGUGGAAAAAAACAUUCCACUCUCAUUUCACCUCUGGAAAACUCUUCCACUGUUCAGUCUCACCUGUGCUAGAAGAUUACAUCCGUUAGUGUGUGAAGUUUUUGGAAAUAAACUCUCAGUGCAUAUGGCAUAACAUUAAUCUAAAAAUGAACUGUUAAUUGAGACAGGCACAGGGUUGGGUUAGAAAAGAAGUGGGAUUCGUUGGGAAAGGGAUCAUUUUUAAUGCAGUGGAAGGUCAU